UGAUUUGUGUUCGACUGAAGUACGUCUUCCAGAAAAACAUCCGGUCUUGAUUUGAAUGCAUCACUUCUCUUGAUAGUUUGUUCCAGUGCAGAUGAUUGUGGCUCCCCUUCAAGAUCCUCCUUUCUGCUCUUGAGUGCCUAGAAACAGAAAAGACACAGUGUUGUACAAGUGGUCUCCUCAGUACUGUCUAUAGAAAUAAUACCACUGCCUGCCAUAUGCAGCUGGAGCAGCGAAGUGAUCAUCACUCUGGGUAGGCUGUGGGUUUGUGCUCCACUCAAGUGUCCUAACACGAGUCCUGAUAAGAAAGAACAAUGGAGUGUAUGUAAUAUCUGGUUGCGGUUUUUAGAUUGGCUCUAAGGGAAAGUUGUUCCUGACCACGAUCCCCUUGAUACAAAUACUGCUCUGCAAGAGUGUUGCUAGAGGAAGCUGACUGCGAGCUACAGCUCAGAGAAAUUCCAUGGGGACAGUACCAGAUCCUCUGAGGUCUGCCAAACUUUUGUUGGUUGCCACUUCUGAAGAGAGAGAUUGCCUGGGAGAUCCGCAAUCCACUAAGCACCAGCACAAACAAGCAAGCCUAGAGAGGAGCAGUAAUGGCAUUUCUUACACCCAGGCUGAAUCUGCUGGAGUUUGCUUGUUUGACCUGAACUGUACUAUAGUUUCCGACAUUCAAAGGGAUGAGCUCCUCUGUGGGGAUGAUACUAGCCAGCCAGACAUGUUUUUGCCUGGGUCCUUCAGCCAAGCUGAAGAAGUGCCUCCUGCGUGUACAGAAUCGGCCAGUGACUCCGAGCAAAAGGUCAGCAGUGACUCCACAGUGCAAACACUGAUUAUAGCAAGAACCUGUGCAGCUGGGCAUGCAACAGAUAUGAUGCCAGCUACCCACAAUUCCAACCAGCUUAUACAAAGUGACCUACCAAGGAUAAAGUCACUGGCACAAGUUGAUGAUUGUGCAGUGAAGGUCUGUAGGAUGAAUGAUUCGGCAGAACUUCAGGAAUUAAAGUAUCCUUCCCCAGACAACACUAUCAAGGGUAGUGAGUCCUGUCACCAUUCUUCUCAAGCAAAUACCCUGCAAAGAAUAGACAUGGAAAAAGAAAAAGCAGUGGAAAUAAAUGACCCUGGCUUCUCUCUGGCAGCCACUCCAGUGAGGGACUUUGAAGCUAUUCCUGAUCUGGGGAUCAGGCCGCAGGUUUAUUCAGAAGCAGAGAUAAGGGCUGCAAAUGAUGUGAAAUCCUGUCCCACUUUUAGGACUGCGCUUGCACAAAGCAAUGAGGCUUUGCCACCAUCCAGCUUUGAGGGGACACUGCCUGGGUGCAAGGCAGAGAUGGAGAAAACAGGACCAGUGCUGCCUCAGCUCUCCAGGUUCAGAGAAGCAAGUACAAUGACAGUCCAGCCUGAGAGCACAUCUUUAACUCGGGAGGCAGUAAACCGGACAUGGCGUGAUGCUGAGGUUCAGGCAGUGGCCAGUAUGGAGACCAAAUCCGCUUCCACCAGCCCAAGUAUCCUUGCUGCAUUCCUCAAGGGGAAUCCUCCUUCGGAGGCAACUGAGCAAUUGCACUUCAUUUAUCAGAGUGGUGGUGGGCAGAACCAGUCAGAACUUGCUGAUGACUUUGCAUCACUCCAAGAGCCAGCCUUGUGUCCGGGUAUCGUACCAAAAGUGUGUGCUCUAACAGUGGUGAUGGAUACAGGGAAAGCUCAGCCUGCCAAACUGCAAAAGCAUCAAGGAGACCCACCUGACACCAUCUGUCCAGUGCUGUCAGGUAGCACAACACCUGCCUGUCUGUGCCCACAAGGAGCCGGGAACACCCAGGGAAUACCUGCUGAUGGGGCAGAAACACAAGUAGCCUGCUUGGCCAGAGACAGCACAGACAUUCCUCAGCUGCCAUCAGCUGCUGCAGUCUUACUGAGGGCAAAACCUGUUUACCAGAUUACGGUUAACACCAGUAAUCAACCUGCAGCACCUCAGGAGUCUGGAGAUGGUGAACCCCACCCGUCUCCAUUUGCAGCAGUCCCAGAAGCCAGCAACAACUUUCCGCACCAAGUCAGUGAUUCAGAAAGUAACCAGUCACCUGGACACAGUAGGGUACCCCAUGGAACUGAGCAGACAGAGACCCUGUGCAGCGCAGCCGGUAGCAGCACUGACAGAAAGCCUUCGCAGUUCCAAAGUGUUGAUGAAGUGCAAAUCAGUCUGGCUAAUGUCAAAACAGAGAGAGAGCCAAAGAAGGAAGAAAAGCUAAUGCUGCUUGAUUCUAGAGGAGGAGUUAACACCAGUACUGGAGCUGCUGCUGGCUCUAUGAAGGUGUAUGCACCAGGCACAGUUAAAACGGAGCAGGAUAAAAUGUUGGAAGACACUACUCAGGCCAAGAAGUCUAGCAGCCUGAGUCUGCAAGCUGGAUUUACACCUGAGUUGAAUAUGAAUUCUACCCACGACCCCCAUAGGAUGAAGACCCCAACAGCUCCACCAGAUCAAAUUAGCAAGGCCAGUGAAACCAGGAAGGAACCAACAGCUGUUCCUGCCUCUGCUCCACUACUGCCACAUCUUGGGGAAAAGAAGAAAAAGCCCACGGUGGCCACGGAGGCAAAAGUACAGGUGCAGCAAUCCAAGCACAUCAGAGAUGUUGUGUGGGAUGAACAAGGCAUGACAUGGGAGGUAUAUGGUGCUUCGCUAGACCCAGAGUCACUGGGGAUCGCUAUCCAAAAUCACUUACAAAGACAAAUACGAGAACAUGAGAAACUGAUCAGGGCACAAAGCACCCAGAACCGGAAAUCGAUUUCCUCAGAUACAUCUUCAAAUAAGAAACUUAAAGGGAGGCAGCAUAAUGUGUUCCAGUCCAUGCUGCAGAACUUUAGGCGACCUAACUGCUGUAUCCGACCUGCUCCUUCUUCUGUGUUAGACUGACGGGGGGUUGUGUGUCCGCAGGGACAACCCCUCCCCCAAAGGUGGAAAGAAACCCCACUGCACAGUUGUAUUAUCUGGGAUUAUGAUGCGGUGACCAUGGAAAUUCUUACCUGAAAUUUUCAGAAUAGUCACUACAUUGUCCCUGGAUGAGGCUUACAACAUAUUCUGAUUCCAUUCCUUCACCCUGUCAUCUCACAUUACUUUACGUGACCUCCAAACUUGCUGCUGAACUUAGGCUUACACAUAUAGGGAUUCUUCCUUUGUACAUCUGUCAAGGACGUACUUUUUGUUUCUUUCCAUCCCCUCCUAGCAUUGUGAAUUUCAUGUGACUUAAACGUUGGCAGUAUUGUUUGGUAAGGCAAGUUGACAUGUUUGGUGUCUCUUACCACGUUUGUUUCUGUGUUGGCACCGAAGAGGUUCCCAAUAUUUGCUGCAGUGUUUGUUGUUUCAUGUUCAGGUUUAAGCCUUUGUGCUGUUUGUUCUUGUGACUUCAGCUCAAUUCUGCUCACACCCUCAUCAGCUGUAGCCGUGCCUGUGCCUGUGAAAUGAUGUCAAUUGAGGAGUCUUUUGUCCCUUUCUCUAUUAUUCCCCUUGUUAUAAACUUUUGUGGUUCAUUCUAGUCUGAAUUGUCCCUGUACAAACUUGUUAAUAUGAGCAUAUACAUGUAUGGUUCAGGGUGUCCUAGGGGCGAUCAACGGCUAUGGAUAUUUACAGAGUUCCAUGGACUUCAUCCAGCAGCCCACUCCCAAAAAAUAUUUGAAAAUCUGGGCUCUGUUUGCUCAAUUUAGACCAAAAUUUGCUUGGCGCUUAAUGACGGAUGAACACGUAGAUGAACUGAAUAAAAUAAUUGUUUUGCUUCAUGAGGAAUCAGCAAGAUCUGUCUUAAUUCCCUGCAGCUGUUUCUAGUUGUAACAUUCACCAGCCUAUCCAUCCCUCAUCACAACUGAACAACCUCUCUCUAAGUAAAGUAUCGCCAAUACAUUUAUGAACUGAAACUAAAAGAGCGAGACUGCCAGGCGGCUGCGUCCAAAAGACUGCUCAGGCAUCAGUGGAAAGACUGAGGUGGUCAGCAGAACAUAACGACAGAAUGAUCCUUAAAAAUGUAGUUUAAAGAUAAACUCAGAAAUGUCAGUGAAACUGUAUGUGGGGCACAACCGCCUGCUGAAAUGCAUUCAAAGCCAAGCAAUAAUGUGUCAAAAAGAGUCAAUAAACACCAGCACAGCUCAUGUAAACUAGUCUAUAUUUUUACUUCGCUCUAUUAGGGCUGAAUUUAAGCAACUUGAUAACUAAAUGCCAGGUUAAAACUUUCUCCUUCAUAAGCUAUCUAGACAACCAUGUUUGAAAUGAACCUUGUUGGAGCUCCUGGAGAUUUCACUAUCAGCAAAAGGAACCUUAUGCUCGGGGCAGCACUGACACGUCAUGGAGCUGAGCAAGGAAUAUGAUUAUGUAGCCGUCCUCCCACUGGCUGGGAAAACUUGUUCUUGGUUUCAGCCAUGUUGGUGUCAAAAUCAGAAGUGUAAUUGCCUGGUGGGAUGAAAGAAAAUACUAAAAAGUCCUGUUUGCCUUCACACACACGCCCUACAGUCGUCUUGCCCUGUGACCCAAAACCACACUGCAGCAAUUAAAUGGUUAAUAAUAUGAAGGAAUACCACGCAGAAUGUGAAAGAAGGUCCAAGUGUAAAGUGAAACUGAACGACAGAUGUCUUUCCUAUGGGUAAAACUGUCUGAAAAGCCCCCAGUUGCAAUUUGAAACUGAAGGUAGAGGAACAGAUUGAAGCAACCCUUGCGUUUAAUUUGCUGUAGGAAAAAAGAAAAUGUGGAAACCAGUCAGAGGAAAGGGAACAGGGUCCAUGUUGGUGGGUCUCUUGGAAAGCUAUAAGCGGCCAGAUGGAUUUGAGAUAAGUGGAGUUAAUGGAAAUAGAAAGGUUGUUUCCAUCUUGACCUCAGGAACACAAUAUUUUUCUAGAUUAGGAACCUGAGCCAGUUUUUAGGAUCCAUGAAACAUAAAGCCCAGGGGAACCCCCAACUCAGGCAAUUUGCAGGAUAGUCCCUAAGACCUAUGGAGUCUGCUGUUGUCUGAGGUCAUUGAUCCGGGUUCUGUUAGCUUUGCAUUGGCUUAGGCAGAACCAGUAGAUUGAAGAUCUGUGUGCUUUCUGCUAGCCCACUCUGGGAAAAGACCAUGCGGGCAGGACUUAUUCUGGCAAUCAGUCUAUGAGUGGUAGGUGGAAGGAAAUACAACCCUCGCCUCUCUCAAGGAAGGAUGAUCCACCACCUAUCCCUUCUCUCUUAUCAUAGAAGAGGAGAGAAGGGAUGAGAAAAAUGGGGGAAAGAGGAGGAGAAAUUGAGUGAUAUGGGCUUUACUAGGGCCUCCCCAAAUCCUGUAUCCAGGACCAUACUGGUUCAUUUUAUUUUUGCCAUUGGCUUAUUCUGAAAUAAAGAAUCUGUAUCUGCAA